AAAAUUGGAACACUUAUUCAAUACCUCGUCUCUCCCCUACUCGCUAACCCACCUCAUCGCGUCAUUGCCGCUGCUGCCGACAACCUCACCAUUCAUCAGCGAUAUACUCUCUCGCCCUGAACCCUCGUCGUGUCAUUUCCUUUCCACUACCGCCAACAACCUCACCGUUCAUCGAUUGCCGGUGAGCCAAUCGAAUCCUUGCUCCGCUCCCUUUCUCGCUAACCUCUCUGUUCGUCUUAUCUCCAGCGCUUUCACCGUCAACCUCUCGCCUCCCAGCAAAACCCUAACUAGAUAAUGUGUUUUUCCUUCAAUUUCUCAUAUUAUUUUCAUUUUCGUAUGAGCCAUGAUUCAAGAAUGGCAAGCUCAAGGCGGCGAGGGGAUGGCAGUGGUAGCGACAACGACAAAGAUGGCCCUAAAGUUGUCAAAGCAUCAAGUGAAAACAAUGGGACUAUAAUUUUUUUCUUUAUAUAUUUCAACUAUAGUGGCAUAUGCUACAUCAUAUGUUGGAUUAUGCUACAUUAUUGUUAUUAUAUAUUGAUUUGCAGCAAGAAACUGGUAUUCUUGAAUAGGAAGUUCUAGUUUGGUCCAAAAAUUUUCUUGCUUUUAUGGUCGUGUUCAUCAUAUAUAAUUGCAUUAUGGAUUUUGUAGGUCUAAAAUCUCUUGUGUUUUUAUCCGAAAUCUAAUAGUUCUGAACAAAAUUCGUCUAAUUGACUGAAAUUAUAUAGCAAAUCCCUUAUUUAUCAUUCUUGAAAUCAGAAUGCCUUCUCUCAUUCUCUGUAGGUCCUCAUUUAUGAUGUUGGCCAAGUUUGUUAGGAAUCACACUUGUGAGUAGGCUUAAUUAGUUAGUCCUCUUAUGUUGUGAAUGCAGCAAAAGAUAUAUGUGAAAGGUGGUGAGAAGGAGCAAGCGAUCGAAUUCAAAGUAUACAAUCAGGGCAUGUUGAAGACUGAGCUGUGCAACAAAUGGCAACAGACUGGAGCUUGCCCUUAUGGAGAUAACUACUAAUUUGCUUAUGGCAUUGCAGAGCUCCGGCCAGGCGUUCGCCACCCUCGUUUCGAGACCAAGGUCGGCCGCAUGAUCCUAAUCGGCGUCCCUUGCCCUUAUGGCCACCCCUGCUGCCACUACUCUCACCAAGGAGGAGCAGCUCAUGAGGGCCCAUCAAUUCCAACUCUCUUCAACGUAUGAGCUACCGCUAACAUCUUGAUUAACUACUCUUUAUCUUAAGGAAACUGGAGAUUGUGUUUUGCAUGAAGAGUAUGUUACUAAGUAGAAAUGGGUUUCGAUUAUGUAAGUAUAUAAGCAUCAAAUGUGGUAGUAACAACAAUCAGAGAUGCUAGGCUUUGUUUGCAUAGAAUUUAGAAUGGCUUAGGAUCUGAAAUAGAGAAGUGUGUGCUUACAUCAUUUUGUGACUUUGUUUUAUGUUUAAAUGUCAUUAUUUGUAAUAAUGCAUUACCUCACUGAUUAUUUGUGUUGAAAACUGAUUUCGGAGAAUACAUAAGUUUUAGAUUCUUGACAA